ACCGUUCAUAUUCUUCACAACCAGAAACUAAACUCAGGUCCCAUAUUAGCAACUUCGUUACAUGAAGGUAGCAAGCAGGUAGGAAAAGCAAAAGGCAACUCAUGUCCCAACUUAGCAUGAAUCCUGGCGUCCGGAGGCACACCAUUUCACAUUUUAUUCUCUGCAUAGACAAGCAGCGGGGCCGUUCCACGACCGCAAAGGCCUAGGGAAGGAACCAUGGAGCGGAGAUGACGCUCUACUGGGUCUUGAACAUGUGGCGGAUCAGGUCGACAACACGGUUGCUGUAGCCCCACUCGUUGUCGUACCAGGAGACAAGCUUGACGAAGUUGUCGUUCAGAGCAAUUCCAGCCUUGGCGUCGAAGAUGCUCGACCUAAGUGGAAACAAUGAAACAGGAAAAAAAAUGAAUAACACAGCACAGGAACAAAACAACAUUCACUAGAAUUCAUCGUAGCACUAUCGUGGUGUGCCCUAGAAUAUCCACUGGUUCCUAGAACUUGGAGGACCCAAAGCAAAUUUCGUGUACCUGCUGUCACCAGUGAAGUCAGUGGAAACCAAAUCCUCAUCCGUGUAACCCAUGAUACCCUUGAGUGGCCCCUCAGACGCAGCCCUGUAAAACAAUAACAAUCAAAUUAACAACAUUUCACGAAUCCCCAACCAAGAAGAAUGCAAGAAACAUGGACUCAGGAACCUCUCCAUGUCAAACAUGGCAACAGAUUAUCAUUCCAGACAAGAAAUGUAAAUACAUUGAUAAAUUAAUUUAAAACAAUAAACAAGAGACUUACUUGAUAGCCUUCUUAAUGUCCUCAUAGGAGGCACCCUUCUGGAGUCUAACGGUGAGGUCAACAACUGACACAUCCACGGUGGGAACACGGAAGGACAUACCAGUGAGCUUGCCGUUCAAUUCAGGAAGAACCUUACCAACAGCCUGCAGUACAUUAAUAUACAAGUUAGAUGCAGAAUCACAAUUAAAUUUAUAAGAAUAUAGAAUGGUUGCCAACUUUACACUACGCAGAACAUAAGUCAAUAAUGAAGCCUUUUAACACAUGAUUCCAAGGUAUUUGCAUGCUCAUUUAUGUGAUUUAGGCUCAGAUACAUAAAUUAGUUCACAAAGCUAAGUAUAAACCCAAAACAGAGAAAUAAGCUAUCAAGUUUCUAUCACAAAUUAUCAGCUAGCCUAGCAGGUCAAAACAGUUCGCACAAACAAAAGACUACAGAAGAACUAGGAAUUACAGGCUCACUGUAUACAACAUUGUGAGUUUGUCAUAUACCUUGGCAGCACCAGUGCUGCUGGGAAUGAUGUUAAAGCUGGCAGCCCUUCCACCUCUCCAGUCCUUGGCUGAGGGUCCAUCAACAGUCUUCUGGGUGGCUGAGAGACAAGUAUCAUUCUGUCAUUACUACAAGUAUCUUCUCAAUCCUAGGAGGAACAAUGGCUCAACAGACAACUCACCAGUGAUGGCAUGAACAGUGGUCAUCAAACCCUCAAUAAUACCAAAGUUGUCAUUAAUAACCUGUUUUAUGAAGUUAGACAUCAUUAAUAACCCAUCUACAUCAGAAGAGCAGAAACAACUAAAAAAUGGCUCAAAGAAGAGACAACAC
rnacentral:lncRNA from 1 species